GUCUACCGCCAUACCACGUUGAAAGCACCAGUUCUCGUCCGAUCACUGAAGUUAAGCAACGUCGGGCUCGGUUAGUACUUGGAUGGGUGACCGCCUGGGAACACCGAGUGCUGUAGACU
rnacentral:rRNA from 1 species